CCUACGGGUGGCAGCAGUGAGGAAUAUUGGUCAAUGGGCGCAAGCCUGAACCAGCCAAGUAGCGUGAAGGAUGAAGGCUCUACGGAUUGUAAACUUCUUUUAUAAGGGAAUAAAGUGAGGGACGUGUGCCGUUUUGUAUGUACUUUAUGAAUAAGGAUCGGCUAACUCCGUGCCAGCAGCCGCGGUAAUACGGAGGAUCCGAGCGUUAUCCGGAUUUAUUGGGUUUAAAGGGAGCGUAGUUGGCUUUUUAAGUCAGCUGUGAAAGUUUGUGGCUCAACCGUAAAAUUGCCGUUGAAACUGGGAGUCUUGAGUAUAUUUGAGGCAGGCGGAAUUCGUGGUGUAGCGGUGAAAUGCUUAGAUAUCACGCAGAACCCCGAUUGCGAAGGCAGCCUGCCAAGCCAUGACUGACACUGAUGCACGAAAGUGUGGGGAUCAAACAGGAUUAGAUACUCUUGUAGUC
rnacentral:rRNA from 1 species